rnacentral:SRP_RNA from 1 species
GCCAGGCAUGGUGGCGGGUGCCUGUAGUCCCAGCUACUCGGGAGGCUGAGGCAGGAGAAUCGCUUGAACCCAGGAGGCAGAGGUUGCAGUGAGCCGAGAUCGGUGCCACUGCACUCCAGCCUGGGCGACAGAGUGAGACUCUGUCUCAA